AUUGAACGCUGGCGGAAUGCUUUACACAUGCAAGUCGAGCGGCAGCGCGGGGGCAACCCUGGCGGCGAGCGGCGAAUGGGUGAGUAACAUAUCGGAACGUACCCCGUCGUGGGGGAUAACACAGCGAAAGCUGUGCUAAUACCGCAUACGACCUGAGGGUGAAAGCGGGGGAUCGCAAGACCUCGCGCGAUGGGAGCGGCCGAUAUCGGAUUAGCUUGUUGGUGAGGUAAAGGCUCACCAAGGCGACGAUCCGUAGCUGGUCUGAGAGGACGACCAGACACACUGGAACUGGGACACGGUCCAGACUCCUACGGGAGGCAGCAGUGGGGAAUUUUGGACAAUGGGGGCAACCCUGAUCCAGCCAUUCCGCGUGAGUGAAGAAGGCCUUCGGGUUGUAAAGCUCUUUCGGCAGGAACGAAACGGCAGGCUCUAACAUAGCCUGUCAAUGACGGUACCUGAAGAAGAAGCACCGGCUAACUACGUGCCAGCCGCCGCCGUAA
rnacentral:rRNA from 1 species